rnacentral:rRNA from 1 species
AGUAACUGCGAGUGAAGCGGGAAGAGCUCAAAUUUAAAAUCUGGCGGUCUUUGGCCGUCCGAGUUGUAAUUUAGAGAAGCGUCUUCCGUGCCGGACCGUGCACAAGUCUCCUGGAAUGGAGCGUCAUAGAGGGUGAGAAUCCCGUCUUUGGCACGGACCCCCCGGUGCUCUGUGAUGCGCUCUCAAAGAGUCGAGUUGUUUGGGAAUGCAGCUCAAAAUGGGUGGUGAACUCCAUCUAAAGCUAAAUAUUGGCGAGAGACCGAUAGCGAACAAGUACCGUGAGGGAAAGAUGAAAAGCACUUUGGAAAGAGAGUGAAACAGUACGUGAAAUUGUUGAAAGGGAAACGCUUGAAGUCAGUCGCGUCGAUCGAGACUCAGCCUCGCCUCGGCUUGGUGUACUUCUUGACCGACGGGCCAGCAUCAAUUUUGUCCCUCAGAUAAUGGCAAGGGAAAGGUGGCACCCUUACGGGUGUGUUAUAGUCUCCUGUCGCAUGUGAGGGGUGGGAUUGAGGAACUCAGCACGCACCUUUGGGUGCCGGGGCUUCGGCCCACGUUACGUGCUUAGGAUGUUGGCGUAAUGGCUUUAAACGACCCGUCUUGAAACACGGACCAAGGAGUCUAACAUGCCCGCGAGUGUUCGGGUGGAAAACCCGUGCGCGUAAUGAAAGUGAAAGUUGGGACCUCUGUCGUGGAGGGCACCGACGCCCGGACCAGACCUUCUGUGACGGAUCUGCGGUAGAGCGUGCAUGUUGGGACCCGAAAGAUGGUGAACUAUGCCUGAAUAGGGUGAAGCCAGAGGAAACUCUGGUGGAGGCUCGUAGCGAUUCUGACGUGCAAAUCGAUCGUCAAAUUUGGGUAUAGGGGCGAAAGACUAAUCGAACCAUCU